rnacentral:rRNA from 1 species
GAUGAACGCUAGCUACAGGCUUAACACAUGCAAGUCGAGGGGUAACGAGAGGAAAGCUUGCUUUCCUUGUCGACGACCGGCGCACGGGUGAGUAACGCGUAUCCAACCUGCCCCCAACUAGGGAAUAACCUUGCGAAAGUAAGACUAAUACCCUAUAAUUUCCUCAGAUGACAUCUGACGAGGAAUAAAGAUUUAUCGGUUGUGGAUGGGGAUGCGUCUGAUUAGCUUGGUGGCGGGGUAACGGCCCACCAAGGCAACGAUCAGUAGGGGUUCUGAGAGGAAGGUCCCCCACAUUGGAACUGAGACACGGUCCAAACUCCUACGGGAGGCAGCAGUGAGGAAUAUUGGUCAAUGGGCGGAAGCCUGAACCAGCCAAGUAGCGUGCAGGAUGACAGCCCUAUGGGUUGUAAACUGCUUUUAUACAGGAAUAAAGUUAGCCACGUGUGGUUAUUUGUAGGUACUGUACGAAUAAGGACCGGCUAAUUCCGUGCCAGCCGCCGCUGUAA